AACUCAUCUACAAAAAACAAACAAAUACUUGUUAUACUUUUAUGAAUUGUCAAGUUGUACAACACACAGCAAUUAAGAUUAAGACAAACAAAAAAAUCACUGAUAUUAUUAAUUCCAUUGUUGUGUCUAAUAGAUAGAAACAACUUGUGUUGUAAAAGGAAAGAUGACAGCCAGAUGACGUCAAAGUAUCGCGAGAGCGAGACGAAAUUUGAUUUCUUGAAUCCUUCUCGCGGUACUCUGACGUCAUCCGGCUGUCAGUCUUGCGGCGCCGCAUGAAGUCAAAUAAGCCUCCUGACUGCGUGCGAGAACAUUUUGAAUUAUCUGGCACGAGGCAUCACACGUCAAACUUCAACUGACACAACGGUCUCGGUGAAGGGAAUAAGCAAAAGCUCCUUUAAAUUUCGUCAUUUUUUAUACACAUCCCGUUUAUUUUGUAGUUAAUUGUUAGAUAAGUAAGUAAUUUCGUCAAGUUUUCGUUACAGAGUAAGAUUUCGUUAUCAUCGUUACCAUAUACAGUAGCCUAUUUAUAUUGGUUCAAGAGCGCAGUUUGAUAACUCAUUCAAGGGGGUUCUGUUCCUGCAGUCUUCCAGCAAUACUGGCGCGUAUGACGAUGCGGACACGAACUGCACACUACAGUAUACCGCCGCCUACUGUACUGUAGUAAAAUAACGUCCUUUAAACAUCUAAACAUGUCCUCCAAAAAGGUAAGUUCAGCAGAUCAGCUUAUCUUAUUCUGUAAUAUUGAUACUGGUUUGAGAAAAACUAAGAUUAAACAACGUACAUGUUUCCAGGAAAAAGGGAAAAACACUGGAAAACAAUUUCAGCCUAAGAACAAAAUAAGGCUGAGGUAGCACCAUCCUUGUGGUUAGAGUGAAAGAAUGUGGGUAUUGAGACCAAAAUAAAUAAUGUGCCAUUCUGGACAAACAGCUGUGGACAAUACAAGCAGUCAGAGUAGCCCAUUUUCUCACACAGAUGAGGAGCAACCAGUAAGAAAAAGCAAAAAGAUGUUUUGAUGUUGCCUGAGGCACCUUAUUCACAUCAGUCAAUUUCUUCCAAUAAUGAAUCAAGAAAUCCUGGAGUGGGGAAUCAUUCUGAAAGUAGACCAAAUACAGGACAACACCACAGCAGUGGUUGGAAAAAUGCAGCAGACAAUGAGCAAACCAAGCUGACUUUCAAAAGAUGAUUCGUUAUCUGUUUCUUCAAAGGGGAGGCAGUUUGGGAGAUGGGAAAUAGGAGGAUGCUACAGCUACACAGGGCGAAUUUCAGCAGCUCAGUUUCACACUUGCAACUAACAAUGAAUUAUAGUUAGAAGACAACGGAAAUAUUUGACAUGGGAGUCCAGCAGACAGCCAGAGACACGCACACACACGGAGCUGAAGCGCGUUUGACUGACGCGUACGGGAGAUCAGGCACGCGCACGGGAGCUCGCGCGCGCACGCACACACAAACACGGAGCACAUGAAAAUUA